rnacentral:piRNA from 1 species
UGCUUUGACUGGCUUAGACUGGUGGU